ensembl:lncRNA
CCUCAUACACUACUCAAUGAAGCAAAGAAGCAAACAAGAACAAGAACAGAACUACUCAACUGGUUAUUUCCAUGAUUCCUAAAAAUUACUAAAAUGCUUUUUCAAAAGGUAGAAUGGAUGUUUAAUGCAAGGCUUGAAGAGAUACUGGGGUGCCUUUUUCUGAUUCUGCCUGACACACACACACACACUCUAAAAAAAAAAAAAAAAAGAGUCUGCUGGAGUAUGGCACUGUGACUUGAACUGAAUGAGAAAUAAUUAGCUGUUAUGGUUAUGGAUGAAGAUAUUGAACAAGACCAGACCCAGUACCAACCCCUGCGGAGCACUGCUAGCUACAAACCUCCAAAUAGACUCUUCACCACUGAUCACAACACUCUGAGCUCUCAGUUAUCUCAGUCAUCCAGUUAUCAGUGCUCCUCACUGUCCACUCAUCUAUCCCACACUUCCACUUACCUACAAGGAUGUUACGGAAUACAGUAUCAGAAGCCUUGUUGAAGUUGCGUUACACAAUAUCCAUUACUCUCUACUCAUCCACCCGGUCAAUGAUCACAUCAUAGAAGGCUAUCAGGUUG